ACGGGAGGCAGCAGUAGGGAAUAUUGCACAAUGGGGGAAACCCUGAUGCAGCGACGCCGCGUGAGUGAUGAAGUAUUUCGGUACGUAAAGCUCUAUCAGCAGGGAAGAUAAUGACGGUACCUGACUAAGAAGCCCCGGCUAACUACGUGCCAGCAGCCGCGGUAAUACGUAGGGGGCAAGCGUUAUCCGGAUUUACUGGGUGUAAAGGGAGUGUAGGUGGUCUGGCAAGUCAGAUGUGAAAGCCCGCGGCUCAACCGCGGGACUGCAUUUGAAACUGUCAGACUGGAGUGCAGGAGAGGAAAGUGGAAUUCCUAGUGUAGCGGUGAAAUGCGUAGAUAUUAGGAAGAACACCAGUGGCGAAGGCGGCUUUCUGGACUGUAACUGACACUGAGGCUCGAAAGCGUGGGGAGCA
rnacentral:rRNA from 1 species